rnacentral:lncRNA from 1 species
GAGAGGGAUCGGUUUCGUGGUCCCAGAGCCUUGAUAACAUAGGCCAAUGGAUGACCAUCCUGCAUGAGGACAUCACCUAUCCCCACAUCACAGGCGUCAAUGGCAAUCACAAAGGUUUUACUAAAAUUUGGCAGUGCGAGGACCGGGGCAGACAUCAGGGCUUGUUUCAGAUACUGAAAGGCUUGUUCCUCAACCUCAGUCCAGCGGAAGAUUACCCCUUUUUUAAGCACAACUGUCAGCGAACGACAAGUGAUACCAUAGUGACGGAUGAAUUUUCUGUAAUAUCCUGCCAGUCCUAGGAAUCCACGGACUUCCUUGACAUUGGUUGGAGUAGGCCAAGUUUGAAUAGCUGAAAUUUUAUCCGGGUCGGUGGAGACCCCCUGCUCGCUAAUGAUGUGUCCCAAGUAUCCAACCUGACGUUGUGCAAAUGCACAUUUUGACAGCUUAACACGCCACUGAUGUUCAGACAACAUCUUGAGUACCAGGCGCAGAUGGAUUAGGUGAUCCUCGAAGGAGAAGCUGAAAACAAGUAUGUCAUCAAAGAAAACAAUCACGUACUUGCGAUUGCCAGGUUCCAGAGUAUGAUUCAUGCCAAAUUGGAAGGUGUUUGGUCCACCCAUCAAUCCAUAUGAGAGAACCGUGAACUCAUAAUGACCCAAAUGCAUCUGAAACGUUGUUUUGUAUUCCUCCCCAGGUGCUAAGCGGAUCUGAUGGUAACCAGAGCGCAAGUCAAGUUUAGUAAACCAACUGGCACCUGCGAGUUCAUCCAAAAGCUCGUCAAUCACAGGAAUUGGAAACUUGCUCUUCUGCGUCAUUGCAUUAAGGUGGUGAUAAUCAAUCACAGGACGAGAAGAUUCGUCCUUCUUCUUGACCAUAAGGAGUGCUGAAGAAAAAGGGCCCACAAUGUGUGUGCCCCCAUGAAAUACACACAAAAAUUUGUGAACCUUAGCGUUCAUCGAUGGCCCACAAUGUGUGUGUCCCCGCACUUGUGUGCCCUAAUUCCUCUCCCGAGAUCCUUUAGUUGUGUAACCUAGUGUCCUUAUUCAUAAAUCGAUUUUCCAUGAUUUAUAUACAUUGAGUAGACCCCCUAGUAAUUACUUUAUGGACUAACCAACUCACAAGCUUAUUUAUGGUUUAUGUGCAUAAACAUUUUUAUACUUGAGGAAGCCAUAUGUGACAAGGGAAUGGCCAAGAUGAGUAAAUAGCCAAUCUUGGUCAUGCCAAAGGCAUGCCUAGUUUAUAUUCUUAAGGAAGAUUCAAAACAAAAACCUUGGAGGAUGCCCAAGGCAUCAACAUAUUAGUAAACUUCGAAAAACUUUUCAUUCGUUCAUGCAUUAUGUGUUAACUCAUUUUUCCUUUUUGAUUAAAUUCAAUCAUGCAUCACACCAAAAUUUUAUUACUAUUAUGGGGAAGAGAUUUGCAUGGCUUAAGAAUUAUUUGUUUACUCGUUGUUCUUCACUUAUAUCCUUAGUAAAUGGUUGUAGAAACAUCAAAAACUCUUUCUUCUUCCCUUUUUAUCUGUUAGGGAGUUGGAACAUAAUUGGUAUGGACUUGAUUUUUAUCUAUGGGUUAUGUGUUAAAAGGUUAGUGCUUAUGUCAGUAUAAACUUGCAUAAUUUCUAAGUGCUUAACCAGAGCAGAAUUAGAAACUAAAACUGAUAACAUUUGGUACUUGAUGGAUUGCUUAGGUUAACCAAAGAUUGCUUAGUUGCAUGAUACUAAAUGUUCAAGUACCUAUACAUGUUCGAUGAUAAGAACCCCAUAGAGAAAUUGCCAUCAUUUUCAUAGUUCGAGUUAUGUUUAGAUUCAAUUGAAGUAAGUCAUGUGUGUUGAUAAUCAUUGUAAGGUAUUGCUCCUACAUGAGAGAAUUAACAAAUAUGUAUAAGGACACACACACACACACACACACACAGAGAGAGAGAGAGAGAGAGAGAGAGAGAGAGAGAAGCGUCAUUUUUCCUUUUUAGUAUACUCCAAGAAGUUCUUCAAAGUAGCACCCACGUAAGAAGUAGAAUCAUAACUCCUUCAAAGUAGUACCAGUUCAUGCAUUAAAAAAGGAGAAAAUUUCAGGAGCUUCAUAUUGUUUUAUAUACUAGUGGAAGUGGGGACUUUACUCAGAGGAUCGAGAUGGGCGUAGAAUUCCAAAUUUUAGGAAAUGCGGAAUAUAAAGGUUAGCCUACACAAUUGCUAUGAUGAUAAACAAUAUAAUAUAAUGUGGUCAACAAAUUGUACUGAAUGUAAGGUCAAAUGACCAAAGUAAACCACAUGUAAAGAGCUAAGGUUAGGGAUAGAUGAGAAUGUACCCCGAUGUUCACUUUCUUGGAGGGAAGCUAGCUUCCAUUGAAGGCAUCGUUGUUACAACAAAGGCACACAAACACCACCAAGGCUGAGCCUAUUCUCCUUGAGAUAUCAAUGCAAAUGUGAUUCUCAACCACCAGUGUCUCCCAUGUGUCUCCGCAACCUCCCCCAAUGAGCCUAGCCCAUUAGUAACGCUUGAAUCAAAUGAUCAGACACAUUACUUAGAACAACUAGGAAAGUAAUAUAAGAUAAGACAAAAGGGUUUCAAUGAGCAACAUGUACCAGUCUAUUUUGCAUCACCACAUGCUGGAUUUGAGGCCUAGUCCCCACCCUUCUUUCUAUAUAAUCUGAUACGCUGGGAGGAGAAAAACUAUCCGUCGGUGGUAAAUUGCACUACAACGGUGAUCUCGAGCUAGGGUUCCUCCCCUGCUCCCCUGCCGCCGCCGGCCACCCUCGCCCCCUCCAGCCGGCUCGCGCCCCCCGGCCUCCCUCUCCCCCUCCUCCCCCUCCCCCGUCUCUCCCGUCGCCCCCCGAGGCGGCGGUGCGCCCCUUGCCCUCCUCCCCGUCUCGACCCCCUCCUCCUCCAUCUCCCUUUGCCGCCACCAGCAGCGGCCUCCGGCAUGCCUGGGUGGCGUCAGCGGGGGAGGACGUCCCUUCCCCGCGCGCUUGGAGGGGGAGUCGGGGCUCCCUCCUGCCCGAUGGAGGCGGUGGGGCCCGACGGCGGAGUUCUCCGGGCCUCCAUUGCUUUCGACGCGGCGGCGUGGCCGGUGGCUAUGGGGGCGCGGCUGGCCUGCGGGCCAGGGCGCGACGGCGUAGCUACCUGGUGGUGAGGCGAGGCAGACGUGGAUGCGAUGGUGAUGGCUUCGCUGCCGGCAUGCUGCAGCGUGGCUGCAGGGACUGUCCGGACCCGUUGUGGUCCGUCCAGGCCGGUGCUGGCCUGGCAAGUCCCUAUCGCUAUGUCCAAUCGGCUCCAUGUGGCGGUGGAGGUUGUUCCCUCCUGUCGGCUGCGUUGCGGUUGCCACCGAGCCCGGUGGCUUUGCGUCCUACCUCUAGGUCUCGUGUUGGUGGCCUCAGUGAGAUAGUGAAAAUGGUGCGGUGUCCGUGGUGGCACAGGCUGGUGGGCGGCAUAUUGGGCGGUGCGCUUCCGUUUUUGUGGGUUGGCGGUGGUGGUUUUGGGGUGGGAGAAAUCUCUGGCGGCUCGUUUGCCACCGGCGCGGCUGCGCCCGUGGGCGUUGCCGGACCCUCCACAGGGGCGGCGGUGAUCCCCCUUCCCCACUGUCAUCCGCGUACUGGGGGAAACCCUAGGACUUGUCCGGGCAGCAGUGUCGUCAUCGUCGCAUUUAUUCAUGAAGAUGUUGCUUGGUACGCGAGGCUUCGGAGUGCUUGGCGGGCGGUGGUACUUCUCCGGAUGGUGCAGCGGGUAUCGGCCAUCUUUCUUAGUUGAGCUGCCGGUGUCGGCAUUUGUUUCUUUUUUCUUUAUCUCCUUUUUCUUUUGGGCUUGUUUGUGUUGUGGCCCCAGCAAGCUGGUUGUAUCGGUUGGAUGUUGCUUUAUAAUCUAAAGCGGGGGAAACUCUUUUUGUAGGAAAAAAUGCAGUUUUGAUAGGUAAAAUUCAUGUUGAUCCAAGUGGAAGAAUACAAGAUUCACAAACGAGAAGUAAAGACUUCCUGAGAAAUCGCCCACUAGUCAGAAGCUUCUGAAACUCAAGCAUUUUCUUAGAGAAGUUGGAGAAAGCAAGACAAAGUGAAGCGAUAGAGUUCUCCAACUCGCAUGAAUACCUCUGCUCCGAAAAUUUGCAGUUCUCGCGACAUUGAAAUACUUCAUUUGCUUUCAGACUUAUAUAUUAUGUGGCUAUGAUGGCCCAAAAAGGUCUGUUACAGUGAUCAUCCAAACACUGCGAAGAAAUGGUGAUAAUAAUGGGUUGAUUUUUUCAUCGACCCGUGCUGCCGAUAUAUCAUGCAUGGAAAGGUAUAAUAAAGGUAUAAGAUGGAAAUGGUGAUAAUAAAGGUACAAUUUACUCAUGCAUGGAAAGAGAUGAGAUGGCCGACGCCUCUAAUGUAUACCAACAAGCGUGUUAUCAAAGCCACAAGUAAGUGGGCGUUUACUCCGUCUGCAUGUUUUGCCAAGGACCACUUACUGACUUACCAGCAGCUGGUCGGCCGGCCUAGACCUAACAGCCAGGAGCAAACAGCGAAAGAGAAAACAGCGCAUGUGAGAAAACUCAGGGUUAAGUUAAGGAGAUGUCAAGAUCUGUACUUUUGUCGCAUGCAAGAGCAUGAAUAGAUCUAAGGGUUUGAAAGCAACAUGAAGAAUCAAUGCUGCUAAUAAUCAAUCUCUGCCACGGCCAAAGAGGAUCUGAUGCGCGCUGCUUUUGUUAUGGGGGCACAUCGUUAUGGGGGCGAUCAGGACAGUGUAGAGGUUUCUUGGCAGUACCAGAUGGCUGCCACUGUUCCCGUUUUAUGUUGUGGAUGUACAAUGCCGGUGCAUGAGAGGAAAAUGAGCUAGCUUAGUCUAGGGGGGAAAGCAUUUCAAAAAGGGAAUGGUUGCUCGAGAGAGAGAGAGAAAUUCUUCUUCCUGGGAGCCUAGGCUGUUUGCUGAUUAAUUAGUAAGGCCAACCAAGCGGAUAAGGAAGUUUUUGUUUUAUUCCUCUGAAACCAUGAAAGAAAAUUGGGAGGGUGGCUCAACCAACUUAGCAUGGGUGCAAUUUGCAGCACCUGCUAACAGUCACCUAACCUAGUUCAUGUAAAUUGCCAAUUUUUGCAAGCUCACUAAUGCAUGAAACAUGAGUGUAGCUGGAUCCAACAAACGUAUGCACAGCAUAUUGGUUUGCUUCGGAGCACCGUCUACACAGUAGGUGAGAACUAUAUCUACUCCCUCCGUUCCUAAAUACUUGUCUUUCUAGAGAUUUUAACAAGUGACUACAUACGGAGCAAAAUGAGCGAAUCUACACUCUAAAAUAUGUUUUUAUACAUCCGUAUGUGAUACUCCAUUUGAAAUCUCUAAAAAGACAAAUAUUUAGAAACGAAGGGAGUAGCUAGUAAGAGCUGCUGCUGGCUAUCAUACCAGAUCACAUCAAUUGCAUGCAUGCCUGCUGCUUGGGGUAGUAUCCAAAGUUUUAGAUAGCGCGCUAUAGCGGCGCUAUAGCGGCGCUACACGCAUCCUGACUGUGGUGCGCUACGCGAAGCUCGAUUUCACGUACGAAGAGUUAGCGUGCUAAUAGCGCGCUAGAUGUCAUUUAGCGCUGAAAAUUGGGCCUCUAGCGUUAGCGUCCCGCGUCUUUGAUCUAAAAUUUUCGGCCCAAAAUGAAAUCGCUACGCGGGCCAAAGCCCAAGCCUACCAAUAGUCGAAUACUAUGCCCCCAACCCUCCUCUCGAGCGAAACCCUAUCCCCACUCAUGUCCUCAUCUCAAACAGGAACCAUGGCGGCGGCCGACCAACGACCAACCAUGGCGACGGCCUCGAGCUGCUACUCCAGCGAUUGACCUUCCUCGCCACUCCCUCCCAGCGACGGGGUAUUCCACUAUUCCUUCCACCAGGCGACGCAACUCCCGGACGUUUCCUCUCGGCUGCUCCCUCCUGGCCACUUCCUCUGCUGACGGCGACGACCGCAUCCACAAGGCGUCGGAGCACCCCGCGGCGACGGUGUCCACCAGGCGACCAUGAGCCAGCAAAUCCCGUCAGCAGGUAAGCUCAUCUAUCCUUUGUUAUCUCUUCUUGUGGAUGCUUGUACUACUAUAGGAAUCUGCUGAAGUUUUCAGUUAUAUACAGAAUACAGAUACAUUAAAAGUUUAUUUGCUACUGAUGUACAUUUUUCUAUCACGUACUUUGGAUUGCCUUAAUCUGCAUAGGUGUUGGUGGCUCAAGCACUGCCUCAGUAGCAACACCUGCACUCCCUCAAGUUGAUUCGGAUGACCCUGCGUGGAAGUAUUGCACUCUUCCAGAUGUGAACAAGAAGCCAUGUGUUCCAUACUUCAUUUUGUUCACUUACACAGGUUCAUACAAAGAAACGCAGCAGGCUACUCCAUGAUAGGAUGAGUGAUCUUGUAUUUAUCAAGUUCAACUCUAGGAUGAAGCAUAAGAGAGAGAACAAGAGUAGAGACCCAAUAGAGAAGACGAUCGUUGAUGUUCUUGAGGACGAGGAUAACGAGUUCAUCACCGGCAUUGUUGGAAAUGAUAAUGUUGUUGAACAUGUUGGUGAUGAAGAUCAAACUCAACAAGAGAGAGCUUCAACAUCACAAGAACAAGGGAAAAAGAAGAAGAGGCCUACUGCGCCCCCUAGAAAGAAGAGGAAGAAGAGCUUGCAAUCUCUCCUUAAUAGUGUCGAUGAGGAAGCUAUACUUUCUGCCUCUUCCAAUUCUUUUUCGUCGGAAUCAGAAGAUGAGUCUCCCUCGGCCCUUGCUGACUCGGAUUAAUUGCAUGGUUGGGUGUACCACUUUUGUUGUUUCAAAGUGUGCUGGUGGUAUGUUGUUAUGUUGCUAUGUCAAGUUAGUUGGCUGAACUUAUAAACCGGACCAUCUCAUGUUGUUUAUGUACCAUUUUUGUUAUUCAAAGUGUGCUGGUGGUAUGUUGCUAGUUGCUAUGCCAAACUUUGCUCUGUUAUGUAAUGAAUUGAACCAUCUCCUGAUAUAUGUCCUUAUUAUGUAUGGUAGGAACUACAUAAUACUAUGUUAUGUGGCUGUUUGCAUGAGUAUGGUAGGAACUACAUAAUACAGUAUCAUUUUUCUAUUAACUUGGCUGUAUGGUAGUUGAUAUAUGUCCAUUUUCAAGUAUAUAUAUGUCAAGUUGAUGACUGAUUCUAUGUUUAUUUUUUCAUUUUUUAUUGAUUUAUACUGAAACGCUAAAUGGGGCUUAGCACGCUAUAGCUGCGCUAUAGCGUUUCAUAGCUCUUGGUCAGGCCGACGCUAAGAGACUUAGCGCGCUAUCUAAAACUUUGACUAGUAUCUCAGUUAUUACUUGUGAGUUGGUGCGAAUGCCCAAAAGGCUGCAACGCCUUUAACCACGCCACGCCGGCUGCUGAUGAACUACGUACACCGUUUGCUUGCAAAAUCAGUGAGUGUUCUUCUCUGCCAUGUCACACAUGAAUGUGGGGUUACCAUGCCAUGAUCAAUCAUAGACUGAUCGCCGGCCGAUGGUGGCUUAGAACUCACGAAACCACACUCACUGGCGCGUGGUUGCUUAGGUUGCAGGUUUAGAUCUUGUCCUAGAAUGUUUGUCAUCGUGGACAAAACGUAGAUAGACAACUUCGACUCGAGAAAACACAGUGCAUAUUCCCAUUGUCGAAAACCUCGUCAACGAACAGUAAGGGUUUUGAGUACAUAAUAAACUCAGGAAAGAGCUUCCUUGAAUUCUUGGGGGACCAAAAUAUUAUGAUAUUAGUAUUUUCAAAUAAUCAAGUGACGUUAAAGUUGAUAUACAAGGGUUUCCAAACUACGCCUACACUCCUAUAUAUAUGUCUCCACGCCUGAAAAAUCCACACUUGCGCCGAUAGUAGAGCAACGUCUCAGAUUUGCUCAUGUUUUCUCUAACCCUUUUCUUCUUCUAAAAGCUAAACACAACCACACAGGUAGUACCGAAAAAGCAAAAAGUCUCAACAAAGUUUAUUAAUCUGGCGCAGCACGGUGCCAAGGAGGUACCAGAAAUGAAAUGGUGGGCAAGGUCCUCCUGCCUGCAUGGGGCAUGUGAGGCCGGCCAAGGACACGCAUGAAGUCCAAAAGUGGGGAGGGGUUGGUUGGGUUUUGUAUUCCAACGACGCCACCCAACCACAAAUUUAGUCCUAGGAAGAAAGAGUGAGUGAGCGAGGCAGGGCCCCAACUCUAAUCAACUCGAGUCAAGAACAUGCAAGAAGUAUGUACCAGCAGUUGCUGUCCAAUUACUCAUCUUCCUUGCUAACCCAGCCAAAGCAGAUAGAUAUCUCAGCUUAACUCUAGCUUGGGGGAAAAGUGGUGCUGGGUGUUGGGUGUGGGAGAAGGGAGCAAGCAAGCAAGCGACUACAGUGCUGGCGGCCGGGCCACCAACAUGGCUUAACUGCUAACUUGCAAGUGCAGAAUACACAAGGAACUUAAUGGUGCAAUGAUGAUCCUAUAUCAGGGAAGCAGAUCGAUUGAAGAAAGCGUUAUAGAAACCUAGGUAGCUUCACAUCUCAUGCAAGGCAGCGUGGUGGGAUGAUGGGAGGUCACAUGCGUUGGUUGACCGGCCGGCAUAUGCCAUCGAAGGCGUUGGCGCCAGGCCUUGCAGCACCAGAGUGUAUUAGCUUAUUGAUCAGUUCAUCAUUCCUUGAUGCAUGCAUGCAGGCAUACAGUGGGUUGAUGGAUCUUGUAUGAUCCGAAUUCUUUUGAAAAGGACCAGGGUUUAUUGCACCGAUUCUUCUACUUUUUUUGAUUUUUUGAUUUCUUUUUAUUCUUCUACGUUGACACACUGCCUUUUCCGUCUAUGAUCAAUCAAGUUAAUUCUACAUGAUCUCUGCAUUUCUCCACCUAUCUACCGUGUCGAUCUCGAACAGUGCUCGUGCGUGCGACAUGUAGUCGAUCUGCUGGACGUACGUACGCUAGCUGAAGAGGUAACGACGGAUCUAUAAUUUGGUGAGGGUGCACUGCAGUACUGCACCACGGUGGAGUCGGCCACCACCCCGGUUUGAAUUACAGGCUCACGGGGGUACAAGGGCGUCGCUGUCCAUCGACCAACACACACUAGAUAUAUCUACCUAUAUACAUCGCAAAUCCUGCCCGGUGGUUUGGUCGAUCGAUCUCUAUAGUACCUCACGGGUCAACACGAGGAAAAUAAAGGGUACGUCGCUUCCGGAAAAAGGGACCCGGGAACGCUCCGGCGCCAUGCCCAAGCGUUACGUCACGCGCAGAUGGACCGGACAAGACAUCUCCCGACUUUCGACACGACAGAACCAUGUUCUCGCUCAGCUGAGCUCCUGAGUUUCAACCCUGCUGACGAAUUUUCCUCUCGGCGGAGAAGAUGCCAGUGCCCCCGUUUACACUAACCGACCACUGCAAGUGUCUUGCUAACGGGCUAAGAGCGUCUACAACAACAAACACCAACAUCCAUCCCUCGAACGUCCGUGAACGUGUCCGACGCGUCUGUGGACAGUGAUCGAACAUCACAAAAAAAGAUUCCAGAACCACAAACAUCGUUUCUAAAUCAUUAAAUUCAUAUUGUUACAUGUGACGUGAAACCUAAUCUAAGCGAAGCUCGUCCGGCUCUGCUGUGCCCAUGUCCAGCAGUCGGCUGCAUCCUUCGAAGUGUUGCUCUGGUCGCUGCAAGAUAGAGUAGGACAUGAGACACAAACAGGCUCACGAGACUAAAAGCGCCACCAUUUCUCAUGCCCUACUCUUCCUCGUCGGAGUCCGAAACCUUCACGUUGUCGGUGGACGCAAGGUUGAUGAUGGAUCCGUCAUGGCAGGAGCCGGCGAUGUCCACCAUGACGCGGUUGCGGCGCCUGGGAUGACCUUGCAUCAUACGUGGCGCCGGAGAGUGCGACUCCGCCUCGUCAAUGUACGCCGCGAGGGCUUCUUGUUAGAGUAUACGUAGUAACCUCUUGUAUGAAUAGUGUACGCGCCUUGUAAACCUAGUCAGCGUAUGUACGUGAGUAGAGGGCAUGCAGGCUGCCCACGAUCUGUCCUGGUAGUGGCACACGACCUCUCUGUAAAGUGUAUAUAGACUCACCCAGAGAGCUAAUCGAAUUGUGUUGAAUCCCAUAGUCUUUCUGUCAGGGCUACCUCUCCAUUACUCCAUGAUUACAAAUUCGAGCUACAAACCCAUGGGCAAAGGGGGAUCGAGAGGGAGGAGAGAGAAACACACGCACACGCUAUCCUUGCCAGCCACCAGCCGUCUGCCGCCGCCUACUCCCGAAGGGGAACACUCUGUUUAUAUCGUUACAAGGCCAAGGGCCCAUCCUAGGCCUGCAAGCCGAGACGGAAGUAGAGGCUUGCGUUUGGGUCUUGGGCUGGGCCUUUGAUGCUCUUCCUGUGCUCUGUCGCUGACAAUCCCCCCCUGUGGAGAUUCGGCUUGUCCCCAAGCCGAUGCGCGAGAGAAUCGCUGCUUGAGCUCAUCCAGGUCUUCCCAAACAGCAAGAUCUUCAGAAUCACCAGACCACUGCAAUAACACUUGGAGAAUUUUCUUGCCUCCACGAAGAACCACCCGUUGUUGGAGAACUUUCUCAGGUACUCGCAAGUUGUCGUCAGUAGAGGGAAGCCGAGCCAACACUUGAUCAUCAUUUUUGAGAACCUUGAGAAGCAGAGAAACAUGGAAAACAGGUUGUACCUUGCUAGAAGUAGGAAGAUCCAAUUUAUACGCCACCUCGCCCACUUUCUCCAGUAUGGAGAACGGACCAAAGAAUUUGUAGGCCAGUUUGUGAUUGGCCCGAGGCACGACUGAAGACUGAAGAUAUGGCUGAAGCUUGAGAAAAACUUGGCCACCCACCUCAAAUGUUCUCUCUGUUCUAUUUUUAUCAGCUUGAGCCUUCAUGCGUUGUUGAGUGCGAAGCAAUUGCUGUUUCACUGAUUCAAAAAUAACUUGCUGUUGGUCAAGCCAAAGAGCUAAAUCAGGAGAAGCCACUGUGCAGUCAGGGGUUAUCCCAAAGUGACGAGGCAGAUGCCCGUAGAUGAUCUCAAACGGAGUCUUCGAUGUAGCUGAAUGCCAGUUUGUAUUAUACCAGUAUUCACACAAAGGUAGCCAUUUUGCCCAUUUGGAGGGAUGUGCACUGACAAAGCACCUAAGGUAGCACUCCACUUGCUGAUUUACACGUUCGGUUUGACCAUCUGAUUGUGGGUGGCGGGCUGAGCUCAUUCGCAGUUGUGUCCCUUGUGUUCGUUGGAACAGCUCUUUCCAAAACAAACUGGUGAAAAUGCGGUCACGGUCAGAGACAAUGGACAAGGGUAUACCAUGCAGCUUGUAGACAAAAUUCAGAAAAGCCUCUGCCACGACCUGCACUAAGGGUAUGAAGUGACCAUAUUUUGAUAGCUUAUCAAUGACCACUAGGAUGCAAUUGAAACGCCCUGAAGAUGGCAAGCCUUCUAUAAAAUCCAUUAUGACCAUUUCCCAUGAUAGACUUGGUAUUGGUAAGGGUUGCAAAAGGCCAGGAUACGGAACUCGCUUGGGUUUAGCUUGCUGACAAACAGUGCAAUGCUGCAGAUACUGCUUGACGAUGGAUUUCAUAUGAGACCAACGAAAGAGCUGACGAAUACGUCGAUAUGUGACAGGGAAACCUGAGUGCCCACCCAAUGGAGAAUCAUGAAAAGCUUGGAUGAUUUUAGAGUGCAAACCAGCAUCUGCACCCACCCAGAGACAUCCCUUAGUGCAAAUCAGCCCAUUUUUAAGAGAAAAUUUACUGUCGGAUGAAGGGGCGGCAGCUAGUUUCUGUAGAAGUUGUUGAGAGAAUUGAUCCACUUGAUAGCUAGCAGCAAUGUCAGAAAACCAAGCUGGUUGCACUGCAGUCACGACCUGCAGUUCCACUGUAUCAUGGGGGCGACGGGACAAAGCAUCGGCUGCAUUAUUUUCAGUGCCCUUCUUAUACUGAAUUUGAUAACGGAGCCCCAUUAGUUUUGUGAGAGCCUUUUGCUGCCAUUCAGUAUUGAGACAUUGAUCAGCCAAACUGGUUAAACUGCGCUGGUCAGUCUGUAUGAUGAAUUCAUUUAGCAGCAAGUACUGACGCCAAUGCUCCACGGCUAGCAAUAUCGGUAAGAAUUCCUUUUCAUACAUAGAGAGGGAUCGGUUUCGUGGUCCCAGAGCCUUGAUAACAUAGGCCAAUGGAUGACCAUCCUGCAUGAGGACAUCACCUAUCCCCACAUCACAGGCGUCAAUGGCAAUCACAAAGGUUUUACUAAAAUUUGGCAGUGCGAGGACCGGGGCAGACAUCAGGGCUUGUUUCAGAUACUGAAAGGCUUGUUCCUCAACCUCAGUCCAGCGGAAGAUUACCCCUUUUUUAAGCACAACUGUCAGCGAACGACAAGUGAUACCAUAGUGACGGAUGAAUUUUCUGUAAUAUCCUGCCAGUCCUAGGAAUCCACGGACUUCCUUGACAUUGGUUGGAGUAGGCCAAGUUUGAAUAGCUGAAAUUUUAUCCGGGUCGGUGGAGACCCCCUGCUCGCUAAUGAUGUGUCCCAAGUAUCCAACCUGACGUUGUGCAAAUGCACAUUUUGACAGCUUAACACGCCACUGAUGUUCAGACAACAUCUUGAGUACCAGGCGCAGAUGGAUUAGGUGAUCCUCGAAGGAGAAGCUGAAAACAAGUAUGUCAUCAAAGAAAACAAUCACGUACUUGCGAUUGCCAGGUUCCAGAGUAUGAUUCAUGCCAAAUUGGAAGGUGUUUGGUCCACCCAUCAAUCCAUAUGAGAGAACCGUGAACUCAUAAUGACCCAAAUGCAUCUGAAACGUUGUUUUGUAUUCCUCCCCAGGUGCUAAGCGGAUCUGAUGGUAACCAGAGCGCAAGUCAAGUUUAGUAAACCAACUGGCACGUGCGAGUUCAUCCAAAAGCUCGUCAAUCACAGGAAUUGGAAACUUGCUCUUCUGCGUCAUUGCAUUAAGGUGGUGAUAAUCAAUCACAGGACGCCAAGAUUCGUCCUUCUUCUUGACCAUAAGGAGUGCUGAAGAAAAAGGGCCGUUGCUCAGGCGGAUGACACCACUAGCAAGCAUCUCCUUAAUUUGCUUCUCGAGCUCUGUUUUCAGAAGAGGAGGUAACCUGUAGGGCCGCAUAGAUACUGGGGUGGCACCAGGUAACAGAGGAAUGGUGUGAUCGUAC